GUUUAACGCUGGCGGCGUGCUUAACACAUGCAAGUCGAACGGUGAACACGGNAGCUUGCUCUGUGGGAUCAGUGGCGAACGGGUGAGUAACACGUGAGCAACCUGCCCCUGACUCUGGGAUAAGCGCUGGAAACGGCGUCUAAUACUGGAUAUGUGACGUGAUCGCAUGGUCUGCGUCUGGAAAGAAUUUCGGUUGGGGAUGGGCUCGCGGCCUAUCAGCUUGUUGGUGAGGUAAUGGCUCACCAAGGCGUCGACGGGUAGCCGGCCUGAGAGGGUGACCGGCCACACUGGGACUGAGACACGGCCCAGACUCCUACGGGAGGCAGCAGUGGGGAAUAUUGCACAAUGGGCGCAAGCCUGAUGCAGCAACGCCGCGUGAGGGACGACGGCCUUCGGGUUGUAAACCUCUUUUAGCAGGGAAGAAGCGAAAGUGACGGUACCUGCAGAAAAAGCGCCGGCUAACUACGUGCCAGCAGCCGCGGGUAAUA
rnacentral:rRNA from 1 species